UGCUGCCUUCCUUGGGCUGCUGGUCCUGGGUUCUUUAAGAAAGCAGGCUGAGCAAGCCACAGAGAGCAAGCCAGUAAGCAGCUCUUCUCAUGGUGUCUGCUUCAGUUUCUGCCUACAGGUUCAUGCCUUGAAUUGCUGUUCUGACUUUGCUUCAGUGAUAGAGUGUGACUUGAGAAUUAUAAACCAAAAUAAACCCUCUGCUCCCCAAGUUGCUUUUGGUCAUUGUCUUAGCUAUUUUUCUAUUGCUGAGAUAAAACACCACGACCAAGGUAAGUUAUAAAGGAAAGCAUUUAAUUUGGCAUACAGUGUUUUAGGGUUAGAGUCUAUGAUGGCAGAGUGAAGAAACAGCUGAGAGCUCACACCCUGAUCCACAGCUAUGAGGAGGGGAGGGACAGACAGACAGACAGACAGACCGACAGACAGACAGACAGAGACAGAGAGACAGACAGAGACAGAGACAGAGACAGAGAGACAGACAGAGAAAGAAUAAACACUGGAAUCCUUCCAGUCGUUUAAAACCUCAAAGCCCUCCCCCAGUGACACACCUUCUCCAAAAGGCCACACCUAAUCAUCCCGCAAACAAGUCUACCAACUGGGGACAAAGUAUUCAAAUAUGAGCCUUUGGGGGCCACUUUGAUUCAAACCACCACAGUUAGAACAUUUUUUCACAGCAGUAGAAGCCUAACUAGGGCAGAGGCCAACCUGGAUGAGGCAUGAGACACCUUUAAAAAAAAGAUUUUGUAGUUAACAAAGUAGAAGUAACUUCAUGUUUUAUUUGCAAAUGCCCUUGCUUGUAGGUAAGAAACAUCAUUUGAAAAUGAAAUAAAUUUUUGCCACUGGGUGGUGGUGGUGCACACGUCUUUAAUCCCAGCACUAAGGAAGCAGAGGCAGGAGGCUCUCAGAGUUGGAGGCCAGCCUGGUCUACAUAUCAAGUUCUAAGAUAGCCAGGGAUACACAAAAACCCUGUUUUGAAAAACAACAACAACAACAAAAAAACAACUUGCAUUUUAUCUUCCUUUCAUUUAUCCUCUUCUUUCUCCUUUUUGCAGGGGAUGGGAGGGGGCAUGGUCUCUAUUUAUCCUUGACUGGGCUGGAACUAAUUGAUAUUUAGACAAGACUUGCCUUGAACUCACAUAGAUCCACCUGCCUCUGCCUCCAAAAUGCUGAACUAAAGGCGUAUGACACCAGGUCCAGAUAAUUCUGCAUUUCCUUUUUUAAAAGAUUUGAUUUGAUUUGAUGAGUGUUUGUGUGAGGUGCCAGCAGUGUCCAGAACAGGCACCACACACCCUGUGAUAGAUGUCUAGAUCUGAGAGUGGCAGUGCCUCGGGAAACCCUUUGGACAGGAAGCAAAGGUGUCAUAGAUGUCAGUCACCUUGAGUGGUGUUGGGUAUGAUAGUGAAGGAAGUGAGACAGGGUGGGGUGUCAGUGUGGAAGGGGUAGGGCCUCUUCAGUCUUUAUGGGAUUUCUGAAAUAGCAAAGUUGCACUGAGCAGGAGGACACGGGCAAGCACAGAUGUGAGAGAAGGAGGCCAAAGAGUGCUGCAGAGGUUCUGAGAAACAGACUGUCCAGGACGGCCGCCUGCUCAGGUUCUGAGAAACAGACUGUGCAGGACGGCCGCCUGCUCAGGAGACCAAGGCACUAGCACCCAACCAGAGGGAGGCUGAGUUCCAGGAAGCCUCACCCCUCCUGCUUGAGAAGGCAGCCCAAACAAUGGGCACCAAAAGUGACAGUGGACUGUCCUUGGGUCCUUUGUGGUUGUCAGUACUAUGAUGCCAAGGACAGCUCUCAUCCCAAAGGGAGUAAGAGCUAAAUACGGGGGGACCUGGACACAUGGAUUGCGGUAUCCCUGAGUGUCAUCUUCCACUGUGGAAGCAGUUCCUUGAUGUCUCACAGUCACAGGACAAGUGACAGUCACAAAUCAGCCCAUCCAGGGACCUCAGGUGGGCAGGUUACAGAGUGGAGAGCUCUCCUCUCCAGGUUUCAGAUUAUCCCACAGUAAUUUCUGCUGCUGGGCUGCUGGAAGCUGGUAAUCUGCUGAUCAGUGCAUUCCAAAGGUCCCACCCAUCGUCAGGACACUGGGAUGAACAUGUAUGUGGUAAAAGGUGGUUAAGGGGACUAAAAAAGCCCAAGGUAAUUUUGCGUUUUGUCUGUAUCCUCCCAGCUCUCCGAGGUCAUGAAGUUCUGACCAGUCAGCCCAAAGAAUCUUCAACAGGCGCAGCUUUCCCCAGGGACUCUGCCCACAGCCUUCUAGAUAUAAACGAGGCAGCAAACCCAGAGGGGUCUUGACCUUGGUUGUUGGUCAUGGUCCGAAUAGGCAAUUUUCUCUCUCUCUCUCUCUGUGUGUGUGUGUGUGUGUGUGUGUGUGUGUGUGUGUGUGUGUGUGUUGCAGGUUUAAGUAAACCAUUAAGUUGAAUGAUAGUGUUGGGAACCAGGGUUGGGAGAAGAGGGGGACCCCGUGGAUUGAAAUGAAAAUGUUGUCUGUUUAUUUUGUUUUGCUUUUUUUUUUUCUCUUCAAGACAGGAUUUCUAUGUGUAACAUCCCUGGCUGUCCUGGAACUCACUUUGUAGACCAGCAGACUGGCCUCAAACUCACAGAGAUCCAUCUGCCUUUGCCCGCCAAGUGCUGGGAUUAAAGCCAUGCACCACCACUGCCCGGUCCAUUUGGGUUUAUUUUUAAGCAACUAGUUCUAUGAGCCUGGGAACAGGGCCACCCAUAGCAAAGGACAUUACCUGGGUCCAUGUCUUGGUUUUUAAAUAUCACUGUCUGUGAAAAGGAGCAGAGGUCCUUGGAGAAAGGCCUCCUUCAGGGAGAGUUAGAUGAGCCAGGAAUGGCUCCUGCCAGAAAGCACAGAGCUGCCCAAAGAACUGAUGGAGAGAGUCCAGAAGCGCAAUGGAGCUUUUUCAGU
ensembl:lncRNA